rnacentral:rRNA from 1 species
AUUGAACGCUGGCGGCAGGCUUAACACAUGCAAGUCGAGCGGGCGAGGUUGCUUCGGUAACUGAGCUAGCGGCGGGCGGGUGAGUAAAGCUUAGGAAUCUGCCUAUUAGUGGGGGACAACAUUUCGAAAGGGAUGCUAAUACCGCAUACGUCCUACGGGAGAAAGCAGGGGACCUUCGGGCCUUGCGCUAAUAGAUGAGCCUAAGUCGGAUUAGCUAGUUGGUGGGGUAAAGGCCUACCAAGGCGACGAUCUGUAGCGGGUCUGAGAGGAUGAUCCGCCACACUGGGACUGAGACACGGCCCAGACUCCUACGGGAGGCAGCAGUGGGGAAUAUUGGACAAUGGGGGGAACCCUGAUCCAGCCAUGCCGCGUGUGUGAAGAAGGCCUUUUGGUUGUAAAGCACUUUAAGUGGGGAGGAGGCUCUCUUGGUUAAUACCUAAGAAGAGUGGACGUUACCCACAGAAUAAGCACCGGCUAACUCUGUGCCAGCAGCCGCAGUAAUAC